UACGAAGGUGGCAAGCGUUAUUCGGAUUUACUGGGUUUAAAGGGUGCGUAGGUGGGUUGGUAAGUCAGUGGUGAAAUCCCCGAGCUUAACUUGGGAACUGCCAUUGAUACUAUCAGUCUUGAAUACCGUGGAGGUGAGCGGAAUAUGUCAUGUAGCGGUGAAAUGCUUAGAUAUGACGUAGAACACCAAUUGCGAAGGCAGCUUGCUACACGAAUAUUGACACUGAGGCACGAAAGCGUGGGGAUCAAACAGG
rnacentral:rRNA from 1 species